rnacentral:misc_RNA from 1 species
GAGAAUAGGACAGAAUCAACAGACCUGGUAAAUACGUGUUACUUUGUAGAAACAGGGCCGAAACCAAAACAAAAUGAAUCACAAGCCUGUGCUAAAUAAGCCCCUGAACACAGCAACUUGAUAAAAUUGUAAUAAUUCUUCUAACAGGAAAGGAAAUGUGAUGAGCUAAAAUCUCAUGUGGUUCUACUGCCAUAAAAACGGCUUCAUAGUAUAAUAAUUUAUAAAUUAAGUGUAGAAAUAUCACACCCUUUCUGAGACCAAAGCUACCUAUUUAAACUUCCAUUUUAAUGCUCCUCAGUUGGCCCAUGCUUUUAAACAUGUACAAA